rnacentral:lncRNA from 1 species
UCAGCUUUUGCAAAAAUUUAAAUAUUUUUUGUUUUAUUAUGUGAAUCAUAUAAAUACUUGGUCAAACUUAAGGUCAACCCUCAAUUCUUUUCUCUAAAUUCAAGAGCUAGUAAUUAAAAAUUGUGCAUUCAAAUUUAAACACAUGCUUGCACAAGUGAUUUGAAAUUUCAUUUAAUUUUAUUUGGAUCUCAUGUCAGAGUUUGUAUUUUGGAUCUAAUUCAAAAUACAAACUAAAGCUAACUUAAAUAAAAAUCUGUUUGACUGACUUUGCACCCGAGCUGUCCCAAACUGCUCGGAAGUCCGCUAACAAUCUCUCCAAGCUCUAACUUAGCCUACCAACUCAAUCAACCCGUUAACCUGCUAACCCUAACUUGACCCACUAACUUUCCUGGCCUGCUCGUUUUUAAAAUGCUCUGGCAUUCCUUAAAUGGUUUAGAAGUUUAUUUCCGACCCUUCGAAUUGCUCCUUUGCUGGGUGAUUCAAUUUCGAAAAUAAACUAAUUCAUCUAGACUAAAUUCCCGAGAGCUCAAUUUGAAUUAUGACGAUAUUUUCCAGCUCCUCGAAUGAAUACCUCGCUAUUUAAUUCGUUGCCAAAAAAAUAGUCUAAUUCCUCUGUUCCAAGUCUACGGAAUAAAUUGCAAUCAAUUUAUUUUGUGGGCUUAAGUGGUGUUGGCCUUAACCUUAAAGCCCACCUAAUCCUAACCCUAACCCUAACCUCCUUCUUUAGAUACCCCUCUAAUCCCUCACCCUCUCUCCUAUCUUUCUCC